CAUUGCAAUCGAGCGCGUAGGCAAUGAAGUACUCGUGUGUUGCAUCAAUAAAAUACAAUAUAAAAAAGUCGGAAAGUAGAAUCAGUGUUGAUCGUCGCAUGUAUCGUCGUUUGCUCGGGUAAAGAAACUCCGUAAGUUUCUUUUAUUCGGAUUAAACGUGUGCUCAUCGUCAUCCUAAGGGUAGGACACCCAUCGUGCAUUCAUCACUGAAGAAUAAACAUCAUCAUGGGAAUAUUGCAGUGUUGGAAGUGUUAGUGAAUUGUGUUUGUGAAGUGUUGCAAGUGUUCGUGCAUUGCAAUCGUGCGCGAAGCAAUAUACGAGAGUGUUUGAUCGCGUUUAAAUAUAAUUAAAAUCACGGAUUAGAAGCACGUUCGUUCGUUAAUUUCAAUUCCGUCGCGUUCGCGAACUAUUUUUGCAAUUUAUAUAUUAAAUUUACUGCGACCAAUGCAGUAAUUGCAUUAGAGUUUGUUCGAGUAAAGUUGUAUUUUUAUCUUUAAACAGUCGUACAGACUGUUCGCGUAUUAGAGUCAGUGCAUCAAUGAAGAUUUUAAAUUCAACGCGUUUCGGGAUUAAAAUAAAGUGUGAAAUUUUUUUGUUUCAAUAGACUGUGUGCAAAGCAGUCUUUGGAUGCAGUUGUAGAGUCAGUGAUCGGGCGCAUAAUAAAUUAAAAUCAUCCAGAGUUUAGGACAUGAAGAAAGAAGACGCAUUAUGCCGAAGAGGCUAAGGCCGAAGAGACCCCCACUUAAUUGUGGCUGAAGAGGGCAACUACAUAGAUUAUUGAGUUAUUUUCAAAGGUGAUCAUCGUUGGAUUUAUCAUCAAACCUUCUGGAUUCUUUUUUAUUUGAGUGUCUUAAAUUGCUUCAUUUUAAAAUAUACAUAUAAAU